rnacentral:lncRNA from 1 species
GAACAAAGCUAGCAUUCAUUCCCAGAGCUUGGCGCUUGGGAAUGUUGAUUUUAUCUCCCCACCUACAUUUUCUGGAAAACAUCUCAGAAUAAAUCUCUAGCUUUGAUUUCACCUUAGGGUUUGUUUAUAAGAAUUCUUGGAAAGAUAAAGGAAGUGGCUGGGGAAGAAGGGUGGAGAGUUUGGUUGCUAAUAGCAGCACUGAAGUGGCGCCCAUCGCCUGUGAGAUGCGAACUGUAGGGCUUAUGGGCCGUACAGGAGUGUUUACUGAGAGUGUCAGACAUGGUGACCCAAACGAGACUAAUGAGCCUCGGAAGGAAGACCCACCAGAAAAAGCCCCUCAGAAGACAGAAAAGAGUACUGGUUUCUCAGCAGUUACCUCAGUCAUUUGAACGUGAACAGGUGAACUUCUCUUAAUUUCUACUGAAACAGUAUCUGAAUGAGUCAUACCUUUGGAGAGAGAGUCACGCCCAUUUCAUGCAGAAUCAGCUACAAUAAAGAAAUGAUGAACUCUGCAUUCAAACUCAGUGACUCCUGUUUCGGUGAGAGCAGCAGUUUCAGAAUCAUGAAAAGAGGAAAAAAGAAUCCAAAUUCAUUGAGAUUUAAGAAAACAUGGACUGAAAGAGCACUCCAGUGAGCAUUUUGAUGUUUCUAAGAGCCGAGG